rnacentral:rRNA from 1 species
AGAGUUUGAUCCUGGCUCAGAACGAACGCUGGCGGCAUGCCUAAUACAUGCAAGUCGAACGAAGGCUUCGGCCUUAGUGGCGCACGGGUGCGUAACGCGUGGGAAUCUGCCCUUGGGUUCGGAAUAACGUCUGGAAACGGACGCUAAUACCGGAUGAUGACGUAAGUCCAAAGAUUUAUCGCCCAGGGAUGAGCCCGCGUAGGAUUAGCUAGUUGGUGAGGUAAAGGCUCACCAAGGCGACGAUCCUUAGCUGGUCUGAGAGGAUGAUCAGCCACACUGGGACUGAGACGCGGCCCAGACUCCUACGGGAGGCAGCAGUAGGGAAUAUUGGACAAUGGGCGAAAGCCUGAUCCAGCAAUGCCGCGUGAGUGAUGAAGGCCUUAGGGUUGUAAAGCUCUUUUACCCGGGAUGAUAAUGACAGUACCGGGAGAAUAAGCCCCGGCUAACUCCGUGCCAGCAGCCGCGGUAAUACGGAGGGGGCUAGCGUUGUUCGGAAUUACUGGGCGUAAAGCGCACGUAGGCGGCGAUUUAAGUCAGAGGUGAAAGCCCGGGGCUCAACCCCGGAAUAGCCUUUGAGACUGGAUUGCUUGAAUCCGGGAGAGGUGAGUGGAAUUCCGAGUGUAGAGGUGAAAUUCGUAGAUAUUCGGAAGAACACCAGUGGCGAAGCGGCUCACUGGACCGGGCAUUGACGCUGAGGUGCGAAAGCGUGGGGAGCAAACAGGAUUA